CAAGACGGUUAGACUCUCUAU
rnacentral:siRNA from 1 species